rnacentral:rRNA from 2 species
AUCAGCGGGGAAAGAAGACCCUGUUGAGCUUGACUCUAGUCCGACUUUGUGAAGAGACAUGAGANGGUGUAGCAUAGGUGGGAGCGCGAGCGACCUUGAAAUACCACUACUUUUAUCGUUUCUUUACUUAUUCAGUCGAGCGGAGAGCGGGGCGCAAGCCCCUAGCUUCUGGAAUUAAGCUCUCGACCUCGUCGCCGAGGGCGAUCCGCUCUGAAGACCUUGUCAGGCGGGGAGUUUGACUGGGGCGGUACAUCUGUCAAAAGGUAACGCAGGUGUCCUAAGGCGAGCUCAGCGAGGACGGAAACCUCGCGUAGAGUAAAAGGGCAAAAGCUCGCUUGAUUUUGAUUUUCAGUACGAAUACAGACCGUGAAAGCGUGGCCUAUCGAUCCUUUUGACUUUAGGAGUUUUAAGCAAGAGGUGUCAGAAAAGUUACCACAGGGAUA